GGUUAAGUGAAUAAGGGCGCACGGUGGAUGCCUUGGCACUAGGAGCCGAUGAAGGACGGGACUAACACCGAUAUGCUUUGGGGAGCUGUACGUAAGCUAUGAUCCAGAGAUUUCCGAAUGGGGGAACCCAACAUCUUUAAUAGGAUGUUACGAUUGUGUGAAUACAUAGCACAUUCGAGGUAGACGCAGAGAACUGAAACAUCUAAGUACCUGCAGGAAGAGAAAGAAAAUUCGAUUCCCUGAGUAGCGGCGAGCGAAACGGGAAAAGCCCAAACCAGCAAGCUUGCUUGUUGGGGUUGUAGGACUCCAAUAUGGUAGUUCUUUCAGAUAGUCGAAUGACUUGGAAAAGUCAGUCAAAGAGGGUAAAAACCCCGUAGACGAAAUGUGGAAGACACCUAGGAGGAUCCUGAGUACGGCGGAACACGAGAAAUUCCGUCGGAAUCCGGGAGGACCAUCUCCCAAGGCUAAAUACUCCCUAGUGACCGAUAGUGAACCAGUACCGUGAGGGAAAGGUGAAAAGCACCCCGGAAGGGGAGUGAAAUAGAACCUGAAACCGUGUGCCUACAACAAGUCAAAGCCCGUUAAUGGGUGAUGGCGUGCCUUUUGUAGAAUGAACCGGCGAGUUACGAUUGCAUGCGAGGUUAAGUUGAAGAGACGGAGCCGCAGCGAAAGCGAGUCUGAAUAGGGCGUUUGAGUAUGUAGUCGUAGACCCGAAACCAUGUGAUCUACCCAUGUCCAGGUUGAAGGUGCGGUAAAACGCACUGGAGGACCGAACCCACGUACGUUGAAAAGUGCGGGGAUGAGGUGUGGGUAGCGGAGAAAUUCCAAACGAACUUGGAGAUAGCUGGUUCUCUCCGAAAUAGCUUUAGGGCUAGCCUCGGAAUUGAGAAUGAUGGAGGUAGAGCACUGUUUGGACUAGGGGCCCAUCUCGGGUUACCGAAUUCAGAUAAACUCCGAAUGCCAUUCAUUCAUAUCCGGGAGUCAGACUGUGAGUGAUAAGAUCCAUAGUCGAAAGGGAAACAGCCCAGACCACCAGCUAAGGUCCCAAAAUAUAUGUUAAGUGGAAAAGGAUGUGGGGUUGCACAGACAACUAGGAUGUUGGCUUAGAAGCAGCCACCAUUUAAAGAGUGCGUAAUAGCUCACUAGUCGAGUGACCCUGCGCCGAAAAUGUACCGGGGCUAAACAUAUUACCGAAGCUGUGGAGUACACCUUUAGGUGUAUUGGUAGGAGAGCGUUCUAAGGGCGU
rnacentral:rRNA from 1 species